AUGAAGACUAUACCACUUCCCCAAAUAGAGAAGCACAAGUUGUUUGCCCAGAAGCAAGAAGGGGCAAGGAAAGAUGUCGAGCGCGCUUUUGGGGUAUUACAGUCCCGUUUUACCAUUGUCCGUCGGCCUGCACGUCUAUGGAAGAGAAAGAGUGUUGGAAGGAUCAUGAGGGCUUGUGUGAUUCUCCACAAUAUGAUAAUCGAAGAUGAGAGAGAGCAGGCAAAAAUUCAUAUUGACUUGAAUGAGAUUCCGGGGGCUUCAUUUGCUCUACCUCCCGAAGUGAAUGUUGGUGGUAAUCUAUGUUUCGCAGAUGUGUUGCGUAGAAAAUCUACUAUUCAUGCUCGUCCACAGCAUGCCCAACUUAAAAGUGAUUUAGUCGAGCAUAUCUUGCAUAAGUUUCAAAACAGCCAUCAUAAUUAA
rnacentral:rRNA from 1 species